AGAUUCUUUAUCACUGAGCCACCAGGGAAGCCCUGUUUCUUUUUCUGAUUCCUUUAGAUGCUGUUUUGUAUCGUAUUACAAGUGUGUUAUCUGCAAACAGCAUAUAAUUGGGCUCAACAUUUUAACCUAGUCUGAUGUGAGCACUCUAAUUGAGCCACUUGGCAGGAAAGAAGGGCGGGCAGAGAAUGCCCUGGCCUAAGUGCGUGCUGUCCUGGAGGUGCGAGCCUGCUGCUGUGGAGCCCUGGCCCCUC